AUUGAACGCUGGCGGCAGGCUUAACACAUGCAAGUCGAGCGGGGGGAGGUAGCCUGCUACCUAACCUAGCGGCGGACGGGUGAGUAAUGCUUAGGAAUCUGCCUAUUAGUGGGGGACAACAUUUCGAAAGGGAUGCUAAUACCGCAUACGCCCUAAGGGGAAAGCAGGGGAUCUUCGGACCUUGCGCUAAUAGAUGGGCCUAAGUCGGAUUAGCUAGUUGGUGGGGUAAAGGCCUACCAAGGCGACGAUCUGUAGCGGGUCUGAGAGGAUGAUCCGCCACACUGGGACUGGGACACGGCCCAGACUCCUACGGGAGGCAGCAGUGGGGAAUAUUGGACAAUGGGGGGAACCCUGAUCCAGCCAUGCCGCGUGUGUGAAGAAGGCCUUUUGGUUGUAAAGCACUUUAAGCGAGGAGGAGGCUACCGAGAUUAAUACUCUUGGAUAGUGGACGUUACUCGCAGAAUAAGCACCGGCUAACUCUGUGCCAGCCGCCGCAGUAACAC
rnacentral:rRNA from 1 species